CAGAAACAACAACAACAAAAAAGACCACUUGUUACAUUUUACAGUGUACUUCCAAGACCCCUGAACUCUGUGGACUCUGGGCCGGGGCCAUCAGCUGCAGAGGGUGACACAUUGUCACUCACCUGCACUCCUGAGCUUGAAGCAACAGUGGAAGAGUAGGACACAGGCUCUCAGGCUGACUGGAACCAGGAUCUGCAUGCUGCUUUUCCAUGUCCAUUUCUGUGGGUUUUCAUGGCAUUUAUAUAACCCCAAAGCAUGAGAGGAGUUUUAGCAUCUCAUAAGUACAGCAGGUUUUCCAUGUUUGGAAUGCCGUGGAUGGGAAGUAAGGCAUGAGGCAGGGUGUUAUUUCAGAUCUUUGCACAGCCAGGAAUGAAACCCCGCUGCUCUCUACUUUCUGAGCCAAACCCUUGACCUAGACCUGCCCUCACUCCUGUUUCAAUGCAGGUGCUUUCAGCCCUCUGUGUCUACAAGGCCCUUGAUACUUCCCACUGGAGAUGUGAAACCUUAUAUAUUUUGUAUAUAUUUCAUAUAUGUGUAAAAUUCAAGCUCUGUGGCAAUCUCUGCUAUUGAUUGGUGGCAUGGCCCCCCAUUCCUGGUCUGUAGGUGAGAUCUCAGCUUGUGGUUGGAGUGCCUAGAGGUAGAGAUGGAGACAAUAUUUUUGCUCACAAUAUGGCCAUGAAAGAAAUUUGUAUCAAGCUGAACCACUUGCAUCAAUCCCCCAAAAGUUUGAAGUACUGUUUUGCUCUCUAAAUUUUAGCUGUUAAUGCUGCCUUUUCUGUCAACCAGGUCAAAAAUCCUGCGUAAUUCCCAACAUAUAACUCACUUCCCAGCAGAGAGAAAUGAAACCCCUUCCUGGAUCUUGGGUACUUAGCACUUAUGAAAUGCAAGCUCAAGGCAGGCUGUGAGGAACAUCUGCACUUAGAGAAGUCCUUCUGGAAAGCAAAUGGAAAUUAUUUGCUCAAAUAUUAUGCUCCUCCAGCAAUCAGUGGAACUAUUAAUUAACCUGAGGGUGUCCCUUGCCCACUGUGAGCAUGGCAGGAUCCAUGUGAGGGGGCAGAGAAAGAUACAGGCUCACAUUCCAGCAAAGAUGUCCACAGAGGGAUGCACUUCCCUCUGA
rnacentral:lncRNA from 1 species